UUUACCUUCGGGUGGGGAAUAACGUCUCGAAAGAGACGCUAAUACCGCAUGAUGCAGCGGCACCACAUGGUGACAGUUGUUAAAGCGGGGGAUCGCAAGACCUCGCGCCUGAAGAGAAGCCCGCGGCAGAUUAGCUAGUUGGUAAGGUAAUGGCUUACCAAGGCAACGAUCUGUAGCCGGCCUGAGGGGGCGGUCGGCCACACUGACACUGAAUAACGGGUCAG
rnacentral:rRNA from 1 species